rnacentral:rRNA from 1 species
GCGGCUGCUUAACAUGCAGUCGAACGGCAGCACGGACUUCGGUCUGGUGGCGAGUGGCGAACGGGUGAGUAAUACAUCGGAACGUGCCUAGUAGUGGGGGAUAACUACUCGAAAGAGUGGCUAAUACCGCAUGAGAUCUAUGGAUGAAAGCAGGGGACCUUAGGGCCUUGUGCUACUGGAGCGGCCGAUGGCAGAUUAGGUAGUUGGUGGGAUAAAAGCUUACCAAGCCGACGAUCUGUAGCUGGUCUGAGAGGACGAUCAGCCACACUGGGACUGAGACACGGCCCAGACUCCUACGGGAGGCAGCAGUGGGGAAUUUUGGACAAUGGGCGCAAGCCUGAUCCAGCAAUGCCGCGUGCAGGAUGAAGGCCUUCGGGUUGUAAACUGCUUUUGUACGGAACGAAAAGGCGCCUUCUAAUACAGGGCGCUCAUGACGGUACCGUAAGAAUAAGCACCGGCUAACUACGUGCCAGCAGCCGCGGUAAUACGUAGGGUGCGAGCGUUAAUCGGAAUUACUGGGCGUAAAGCGUGCGCAGGCGGUUUUGUAAGACAGUGGUGAAAUCCCCGGGCUCAACCUGGGAACUGCCAUUGUGACUGCAAGGCUGGAGUGCGGCAGAGGGGGAUGGAAUUCCGCGUGUAGCAGUGAAAUGCGUAGAUAUGCGGAGGAACACCGAUGGCGAAGGCAAUCCCCUGGGCCUGCACUGACGCUCAUGCACGAAAGCGUGGGGAGCAAACAGGAUUAGAUACCCUGGUAGUCCACGCCCUAAACGAUGUCAACUGGUUGUUGGGGAUUUAUUUCUUCAGUAACGAAGCUAACGCGUGAAGUUGACCGCCUGGGGAGUACGGCCGCAAGGUUAAAACUCAAAGGAAUUGACCGGGGACCCGCACAAGCGGUGGAUGAUGUUCUUUAAUUCGAUGCAACGCGAAAAACCUUACCCACCUUUGACAUGUACGGAAGACUGCAGAGAUGCGGUUGUGCUCGAAAGAGAGCCGUAACACAGGUGCUGCAUGGCUGUCGUCAGCUCGUGUCGUGAGAUGUUGGGUUAAGUCCCGCAACGAGCGCAACCCUUGCCAUUAGUUUGCUACGAAAGGGCACUCUAAUGGGACUGCCGGUGACAAACCGGAGGAAGGUGGGGAUGACGUCAAGUCCUCAUGGCCCUUAUAGGUGGGGCUAGAAACGUCAUACAAUGGCCGGUACAAAGGGUCGCGAAGCCGCGAGGUGGAGCCAAUCCCAUAAAGCCGGUCGUAGUCCGGAUCGCAGUCUGCAACUCGACUGCGUGAAGUCGGAAUCGCUAGUAAUCGUGGAUCAGCAUGUCACGGUGAAUACGUUCCCGGGUCUUGUACACACCGCCCGUCACACCAUGGGAGCGGGUCUCGCCAGAAGUAGGUAGCCUAACCGCAAGGAGGGCGCUUACCACGGCGGGGUUCGUGACUGGGGUGAAGUCGAACAAG